rfam:Oryza brachyantha chromosome 3, whole genome shotgun sequence.
AAUAACCUCAUUUUUUGUUUUUUCAUGUCUAACGUUUGACCAUUCGUUUUAUUUGAAAUUUUUUUGCGAUUAAUAUUUGUAUUGUUACUAGGUGAUAAAAUAUAAAUAGUAUUUUAUACGUGACUAUUUCUUUAAGUUUUUUACAAAUUUUUCAAAUAAGACGAAUGGUCAAACGUUAUACACGGAAAACGAAAAAUAAGAUUAUU